rnacentral:rRNA from 1 species
ACCAGACUCCUACGGGAGGCAGCAGUGGGGAAUAUUGCACAAUGGGGGAAACCCUGAUGCAGCGACGCCGCGUGAGCGAAGAAGUAUUUCGGUAUGUAAAGCUCUCUCAGCAGGGAAGAAAAAAUGACGGUACCUGACUAAGAAGCACCGACUAAAUACGUGCCAACAGCCGCGGUAAUACGUAUGGUGCAAGCGUUAUCCGGAUUUACUGGGUGUAAAGGGAGCGCAGGCUGUACGGCAAGUCUGAUGUGAAAGCCCGGGGCUCAACCCCGGUACUGCAUUGGAAACUGUCGGACUAGAGUGUCGGAGGGGUAAGUGGGAUUCCUAGUGUAGCGGUGAAAUGCGUAGAUAUUAGGAGGAACACCAGUGGCGAAGGCGGCUUACUGGGCGAUUAAUGACGCUGAGGCUCGAAAGCGUGGGGAGCAAACAGGAUGAGAUCCCGUGUA